GGGCCGGUAGCUCAGUGGUAGAGCAUUCGACUUUUAAUCGAAUGGUCGUGAGUUCGAUACUCACCCGGCCUACCA
rnacentral:tRNA from 1 species